GUUUUUUCAACUUUUUCAACAGUCCGACAGACCAGCCGGCCAGACAGGCCACAGACAACUCAUGAUGAUGCUGGGAUUGCAGGUUCAGCUUCUGUAAGCCGCCCUCCUCUAAGGCGCCCAUCACAGGGCUCGGGUCACUUACCCAGGAGGCCAAGUAAGACACGGCGUCUUGUCUCCGAAUCUGCGGCUCCAUCUUCCCCACCCAGGCGGCGCAUUUCUGCAGUCUCACCCCAGCCACCACAGGCACUAUUGGCUAGUCCACAGAGUGAUGAGCCACGAUCACCUCAGUUAUCUGAGCCAAGCUUGAUGGCCGACGUGGACCAGCAGGGACAAGACCAACAGGCAACAUACA